UCUCCUACGGGACGCAGCAGUGAGGAAUAUUGGUCAAUGGGCGAGAGCCUGAACCGGCCAAGUCGCGUGAGGGAGUACUGCCCUAUGGGUUGUAAACCUCUUUUGUCGGGGAGCAAAAGCCGGACGUGUCCGUCUGUGAGAGUACCCGAAGAAAAAGCAUCGGCUAACUCCGUGCCAGCAGCCGCGGUAAUACGGAGGAUGCGAGCGUUAUCCGGAUUUAUUGGGUUUAAAGGGUGCGCAGGCGGAGGUGCAAGUCAGUGGUCAAAUUGCGGGGCUCAACCCCGUACUGCCGUUGAAACUGCAUC
rnacentral:rRNA from 1 species